UUCCGGAUGGCGCAAUGGUUACCGCAACUGCCUAGUAAGCAGGAGAUCCCUGGUUCGAAUCCCGCUCCGGAAA